rnacentral:rRNA from 1 species
AGUGAACGCUGGCGGUAGGCCUAACACAUGCAAGUCGAACGGCAGCACAGUAAGAGCUUGCUCUUACGGGUGGCGAGUGGCGGACGAGUGAGGAAUACAUCGGAAUCUACUUUUUCGUGGGGGAUAACGUAGGGAAACUUACGCUAAUACCGCAUACGACCUACGGGUGAAAGCAGGGGAUCUUCGGACCUUGCGCGAUUGAAUGAGCCGAUGUCGGAUUAGCUAGUUGGCGGGGUAAAGGCCCACCAAGGCGACGAUCCGUAGCUGGUCUGAGAGGAUGAUCGGCCACACUGGAACUGAGACACGGUCCAGACUCCUACGGGAGGCAGCAGUGGGGAAUAUUGGACAAUGGGCGCAAGCCUGAUCCAGCCAUACCGCGUGGGUGAAGAAGGCCUUCGGGUUGUAAGGCCCUUUUGUUGGGAAAGAAAAGCAGCAGGUUAAUACCCCGCUGUUCUGACGGUACCCAAAGAAUAAGCACCGGCUAACUUCGUG